rnacentral:lncRNA from 1 species
UGCUAGUGAAAUGGGAAAAAUUCCCUUGUCCCCCUCACAGGGCAUGUGAUGGGGGUGUGGCUCGCUUCUUCAGUGCCUUGCGGCUCAAACCUCUAGGAGGAGUAUGCAGACCGGCAGGUUGUGGGGCUCCGACUCCACAACAGCGUCUGGGGUGAAUGUUUACAGCAGAAGCCCCAGUGGGUGUGUGCUGUAGGGUGCUCUUUCAGUUUAGCCGUCUGUAGGCAACUUGUGUUACACAGCUCAAUUAGACCCCCUGCCUUAUCGCAACGACAGAGGGCUUUCGGUAUCCCAGGGUUUCUUGCCUUGGUGUACCGGAAGAAUCAGAUCACACUUGGGCUUGGAGAAUGAGUGCAAGGUUUUAUUGAAUGGAAGUAGCUCUCAGAAGAUGGGAGAGCCAGAAGGGAGAUGGAAUGGGAAGGUGUUUUUUUCCUGGAGUCGGACUGCUCAGCAGCUGGACUCUCCUCCGACUGCCCAGGCCAAACUCCACAUCGUUCUGCAGGUUGAUGGCCUGCCGGCGUGCCCCAGCGUGCCGUUGUCUGCUGGUGCUUGUCAGUGUGCUCUUCCGCCAGUGUGUUCCUCUUGACAUCCAGCCACCUGUGAGUUCCUCCACCAAUGUGUUCCUCUCGACGUCCAGCGGCUUGUGUCUCUGCCUGCGAGGGUCUCAGAGUUUUUAUAGGUACAGGAUGGGGGCAUGAUGGGCCAGGGUGGUCUUGGGAAAGAUCAAAAUCGGUCAUGGGAAGAAGCAAAUGGGACAGAAUCCAGGAAAAGUUCCAAAUGCAGAGCUUCUGUGGUCUUCUCCCUGUAGAGUCAUGGACCAUGUUACUUUCCCUUCACUAAUGUAUGACAACACACACAAACUAUUACCAACGAGGGGAGCUCACCUGAGCCUUGGUGCCCAGAGUCCAUCUUGGG